rnacentral:rRNA from 1 species
GCUAGUAAUCGUGGAUCAGAAUGCCACGGUGAAUACGUUCCCGGGCCUUGUACACACCGCCCGUCACACCAUGGGAGUGGGUUGCAAAAGAAGUAGGUAGCUUAACCUUCGGGAGGGCGCUUACCACUUUGUGAUUCAUGACUGGGGUGAAGUCGUAACAAGGUAACCGUAGGGGAACCUGCGGUUGGAUCACCUCCUUACCUKAAAGAA